CCUACGGGAGACAGCAGUGAGGAAUAUUGGUCAAUGGACGAGAGUCUGAACCAGCCAAGUAGCGUGAAGGAUGACUGCCCUAUGGGUUGUAAACUUCUUUUAUAUGGGAAUAAAACAGGGUAUGCAUACCCUCUUGUAUGUACCAUAUGAAUAAGGAUCGGCUAACUCCGUGCCAGCAGCCGCGGUAAUACGGAGGAUCCGAGCGUUAUCCGGAUUUCUUGGGUUUAAAGGGAGCGUAGGUGGAUUGUUAAGUCAGUUGUGGAAGUUUGCGGCUCAACCGUAAAAUUGCAGUUGAAACUGGCAGUCUUGAGUACAGUAGAGGUGGGCGGAAUUCGUGGUGUAGCGGUGAAAUGCUUAGAUAUCACGAAGAACUCCGAUUGCGAAGGCAGCUCACUGGACUGCAACUGACACUGAUGCUCGAAAGUGUGGGUAUCAAACAGGAUUAGAUACCCCUGGUAGUC
rnacentral:rRNA from 1 species